rnacentral:rRNA from 1 species
CUGGCUCAGAAUGAACGUUGGCGGCGUGGAUUAGGCAUGCAAGUCGAACGAGAACGGUUCCUUCGGGAACCAAGUAAAGUGGCGGACGGGUGAGUAAUACAUAGACAACUUACCCCCGAGACGGGGACAACCACUCGAAAGGGUGGCUAAUACCCGAUACUGCCUGGAGUCGGUGGAUUCCAGGUGAAAGAUGGCCUCUGUUUCAAGCUUUCACUCGGGGAGGGGUUUAUGUCCUAUUAGCUAGUUGGUGAGGUAACGGCUCACCAAGGCGACGAUGGGUAGCCGGCCUGAGAGGGUGACCGGUCACACUGGGACUGAGACACUGCCCAGACUCCUACGGGAGGCUGCAGUCGAGAAUCUUCCGCAAUGCGCGCAAGCGUGACGGAGCGACGCCGCGUGGGUGAUGAAGGCCUUCGGGUUGUAAAACCCUGUUACCUACUAUGAACAAUUGGUGGUGAAUAGCCAGCCAAACUGACGUAAGUAGGAGAGGAAGCACCGGCUAAAUACGUGCCAGCAGCCGCGGUAAUACGUAUGGUGCGAACGUUAUUCGGAAUUACUGGGCAUAAAGGGCGCGUAGGCGGUUUGGUAAGUCUGCAUGUGAAAUCCCUCGGCUUAACCGAGGAACUGCAUCGGAUACUGCCAGACUAGAGUGCAGGAGGGGAGAGCGGAAUUCCUGGUGGAGCGGUGAAAUGCGUAGAUAUCAGGAGGAACGCCAGUGGCGAAAGCGGCUCUCUGGCCUGCAACUGACGCUGAGGCGCGAAAGCUAGGGGAGCGAACGGGAUUAGAUACCCCGGUAGUCCUAGCCCUAAACGAUGGGCACUAGGUAGAGGAGGUUUUAGAGCUUUCUCUGCUGUAGCUAAUGUAUUAAGUGCCCCGCCUGGGGAGUAUGGUCGCAAGGCUAAAACUCAAAGGAAUUGACGGGGGCUCACAC